GAGGGUGUAGCUCAGUGGCAGAGUGACUGUUCAGCAGGCAUGAGGUCCUGGGUUCAAUUCCCAGUACCUCCA
rnacentral:tRNA from 1 species